AUGAAGCUCUACAGCCUUAGCGUCCUCUAUAAAGGAGAGACCAAAGUCGCCCUGCUGAAGGCCGCCUACGAUGUGUCCUCCUUCAGCUUCUUCCAGAGGUCCAGUGUUCAGGAAUUCAUGACCUUUACAAGUCAACUGAUAGUGGAACGCUCAGAGAAAGGCAGCAGAGCCUCUGUCAAAGAACAAGAGUACUUAUGUCAUGUGUAUGUGCGGAAUGACAGUCUCUCAGGUGUGGUCAUUGCAGACAAUGAAUAUCCCUCUCGGGUGGCUUUCACCUUGCUGGAAAAGGUACUGGAUGAAUUCUCCAAGCAAGUCGACAGGAUAGACUGGCCAGUAGGAUCUCCUGCUACUAUAGAAUAUGCAGCCUUGGAUAGUUAUCUUAGUAGAUAUCAGAAUCCCCGAGAAGCUGACCCUAUGACGAAAGUGCAAGCUGAGUUAGAUGAGACCAAAAUCAUUCUGCACAACACCAUGGAGUCUUUGUUACAACGAGGAGAAAAACUAGAUGACUUGGUGUCCAAAUCAGAAGUGCUAGGAACACAGUCCAAAGCCUUCUAUAAAACUGCCCGGAAACAGAACUCAUGCUGUGAGAUCAUGUGACCCCCCCCAGCCACUGAUGACCCUGCUCUGGAAACUUUGCCUGUCAUUCAUGUUGAGAACUGUAAAGCUCCCAGGAAAGAAGAAACCAAUUCAAAUCGUGUCCUGAAAUGGGAACAUUCCAUUUCAGAUUUCAGCCUCCCGGAUAUGUGGAGGUUUCCCGAGACAGAACAAAAUAAGAACCAUUUUUUGUUUUUACACUUACAAGGCUCAGAAAGAAAAGACAAUGAAACUCAGCAAAAAGAAAGAAGAGAAAGUCAAAAAAGAGGAAAGAUCCCCCCAGCAUUCAUGGAGCAGACAGAGUGCUCAUCUUUCAUCAAGUUCUCUUCCUCAGGAUAGAUAGAUAUACACAUGCCAAAAGUUAUGUAUACCUAGCUAUCAAUGGGUUUAUAUGGUUUUUCUCUUUUAGAGGUCAUGCAAAAAAAAAUUACCCCUCCUCCCUCCCCCCCCCCUAAUCCCCAAAUAACCCCAGACACGCAGCUCCAUAGUUAUAACAAGAUGACUGGCAAAGGAGAGUGAAGAGGCCCCGGAACACAAGAGGGUAGGAGGUGGGACAAGCUUUCCAUGGUCCCCUUUGCGGCUAAAUGCUGGGUCACACACUUUGUUGAGGAAUGAGGACUGAUAACUCCUCAUCCUCAAAACUCCCUGCCCAGACUCAGUCCCAGACAGGAAUGUCUAGCCUCCUCUUAUUCAGAAAACUUAUUCAGAAUCAGUUAAAGAACUGAGGGAAAACCCGACUGGUCACAAGAUAGCAGCCCAGCAUCCCCCAGUCAUUUUGUUGUUGAUUCUGAAAUGGGUGUACAUUGUGAGUUUGCCACUGAAAGAGUCUGUACUCCUGAUCUCUACCCUGUGGGCUCAGAGUUCUGUUCUGUCCUCAACUAGGGACCAUCAGAUAACCCAUCCCUCUUCCCACUCCCUCCUGUCACUUUAUUUUAUUUGGAGGGCAAGAUAAAGAAAUUCACACUUAAAUUAAAAGGGAAUUGUGUUAGGGGGUUGUCUGGAUGGCUUCUAGGGAUGGGCAAAAUUGUGACCAGUGAAGGAUGCCUCUUAGUUCAGGAUUAAAUGCACUUGAUUUAAUCCAAUUUGUAGUUCCAUUUGAGUUAAUUCAUUCCAGAUCUUCUCCCCUCCUACUCUGUCCUCAACCUCUGGUGCCCUUCUCUUGGCAGCCCCAUCCAUCCCAGCCUUCACCAUCAUCUGAUUAUUCUAUCAUACAACAAGACAACAAUUUCCAUCCUUUUGUUAGGCCCCCGUUACCAACUCACUCUUCCCCAAAAGAGAAACACAUGCAAACUAAAUGGGAAAAUCAGGCCCAGUCCAGAUAGAGGGAGAACUCCAUCUGAAGUGGUACACACAGCUCCUAACCUUGGAGGAUUAAGGCAUCAGCCUAGUCUCUCUCUAGUUCUCCAUCCAUCCAUUCAUCCAUCCAUCCAUCUAUCCAUGCAUCCGCCUACCUACUCAUCAUUUUUCUACUUGGCCCCUUUUAGGUUAUACUUUCAAACCCCAAGCUCCUUUAUGAGCUCAGUUCCAGAACAUUCCUCCCUCCAGGAAAUUGCCUUCCUGGGUACCCAGGUAAUGUGGUCAGGGCUUAAUCCUUAUCCUUUAGACAAUGACCACCAAUUCUAUCAUCACUCACUCACAAUAAGUACAGCAAAAUGCAACAGUGCCUCAUGUCUUGAAUGUGCUCAAAUGUAUGCUCAACACAACAGGAAUACUUUUAGGUCUGUAGGGAUAAAAGGGGUUAGGAAAUUUAAUCCUACAUCACCCCAGAGAUCUGUAGGGGUUUUAGGAAAAAAAGGAAGGAGGCUAAUGGAUCUGAAGAAGGGAUAGGGUGGUAGAGGGCGAAGGAAUCCCAGGAUUGCUGGGAUCCCUAAUGCCAGACUAACUUUGUAGGCGUUCCUCAGAUGUGAGAUAAAAUGGAGGUCUAUGUAACAAGUAUUUACAGCUACCCCAAAGGGCCUUUAUGAAUGUGCUAGAAUAAUGGAUGAAGUGUGCUGGCUAUAUGGAAAAAGAAGAUGCUUUCUACCUGGCCCUACCUGCCUGCUUGGUGCAGACACUACCUGCCUCUGCCUAGAGUCUCCAGUGAAUGAAGUGAUGGUGGUAUUCUCAUGGUUCAAGCAGUGCUAGCUUCUGCCCACACGAGUGUUGAACUUUCUGGAUCCCUUCUGGACUCUACUUCACUCUUCAAUUUUAAACUCCCCAGGACGUAUGUUUUUAAAAUGAAAAACAUUUUGGAGUGUCUGAAAAGCACCUUUUGAAAUCACUGCUCAAGUCCAAUGUCGGUACGGGUGUAUGAGUGUGGACAUGUAUAUGUAUGGACACAGGCGUUUCUGGGGAUGUGUACAUUUGUAAGCAUAUGGGCUGAUAGGAAGGUGACCACUAUCCACUGCCAGGAACUGAUUCAAAGGUUUACUGAGUUUCUGGUCAGCACCUUGCUCUUCCCCUGGAAGCAGACCCUAUGACUUGCUAUACCCUGGGAGUAAAGAAUAUGGAGGUUAGAGGAUUUUUUUUUUUUAUUAAUAGCAGGAAAACGAGUGGUAUACAUGGCAGGGAUGGUUCCCUCAUCCCUGCAGCCAGCCUUCUAGGUUAGUGCUUUAGACCUGUUCCUUGUUCUAAGACAUGAGGAACCAUCUUGGUCAAAGAAAGUCAGACUGGUUUGAACUUAAAAGAUGAUGAAAAAGUAGUGGAAUAAACCACCCACUCCCAUCUCGUCAAACUCUAAAGGCGAUCACUCCAAGCUAAGGAAGCCCUGGCUCACUCGGGAAUCUUAGUUUAAAGGACUUUAGUCUUGGCCCACCAUUGAGAAUCUGGGUGCACACUAGGUGGACAUUAGGAUCCCAGAUCCUCCCAGAAUCUUUGGUUCACUAUAAAAUAAUUCUGAACCAAAUCCUCCCAAAUCCUUAAGUUCACCAUAGAGUAACUCUGAGCCUUAGUCCUAGGAAUCAGAGAUAAGAUGGGACAGGAUGGACCCCUCCAAGGUCUCUCUGAGGAUGGCAGAUGGCAUGGGAUCCAUGGCUUCUUCCUUAUACUAUGUUUCUCACCUCUUGGUACUCUUAGCUCCUGGUCACUAACCAGGGAAGGCAUGCUGUAGUUAAAUAAGCUCUAUCACCAGAUGUCUUUCAGUGUGACAUACCUGGGGUGCCUCAAUUUCCUUCCAAGCUAACUCCUUGCCCAUAUUUCACCACUGCCCACAGACCUUUCCUCAAAUAGUCAUAUGUGUUUUUUGGGCUGUGGUUUUCUU